CAGUAGCCGCGGGAAAACGUAGGGGGCAAGCGUUAUCCGGAAUAACUGGGCGUAAAGGGUGCGUAGGCGGCCAUUCAAGUUAGAUGUGAAAGCCCUGGGCUCAACCUAGGAAUUGCAUUUGAUACUGUUUGGCUUGAGUUCGGGAGAGGUGAGUGGAAUUCCCAGUGUAGAGGUGAAAUUCGUAGAUAUUGGGAAGAACACCGGUGGCGAAGGCGGCGACCUGGUCCAUUACUGACGCUGAGGCGCGAAAGCGUGGGGAGCAAACAGGAUUAGAUACCCCGGUAGUCCCUGUCUCUUAUAC
rnacentral:rRNA from 1 species